GUAGGUGGCAAGCGUUGUCCGGAAUUAUUGGGCGUAAAGCGCGCGCAGGCGGUUCUUUAAGUCUGAUGUGAAAGCCCACGGCUCAACCGUGGAGGGUCAUUGGAAACUGGAGAACUUGAGUACAGAAGAGGAAAGCGGAAUUCCACGUGUAGCGGUGAAAUGCGUAGAGAUGUGGAGGAACACCAGUGGCGAAGGCGGCUUUCUGGUCUGUAACUGACGCUGAGGCGCGAAAGCGUGGGGAGCAAACAGGAUUAGAUACCCUGGUAGUCCACGCCGUAAACGAUGAGUGCUAAGUGUUAGGGGGUUUCCGCCCCCCUUAGUGCUGCAGCUAACGCAUUAAGCACUCCGCCUGGGAAUACGGCCGCAAGGCUG
rnacentral:rRNA from 1 species